CUACGGGGGGCUGCAGUGGGGAAUAUCGGACAAUGGGGGAAACCCUGAUCCAGCAAUGCCGCGUGUGUGAAGAAGGCCUGCGGGUUGUAAAGCACUUUCGGUUGGGAGGACUGCUUCUAGCACUAAUAUUGUUGGAAGUUGACGUUACCUUCAGAAGAAGCACCGGCUAACUCCGUGCCAGCAGCCGCGGUAAUACGGCAGGGUGCAAGCGUUAAUCGGAAUUACUGGGCGUAAAGCGCGCGUAGGCGGCUAGAUCAGUCGGGUGUGAAAGCCCCGGGCUUAACCUGGGAACUGCAUCCGAUACUGUCUAGCUUGAGUACAGGAGAGGAGAGUGGAAUUCCACAUGUAGCGGUGAAAUGCGUAGAUAUGUGGAGGAACACCAAUGGCGAAGGCAGCUCUCUGGCCUGAUACUGACGCUGAGGUGCGAAAGCGUGGGGAGCAAACAGGAUUAGAUACCCGUGUAGUC
rnacentral:rRNA from 1 species